rnacentral:rRNA from 1 species
GUUAAACGAGAAGACUUUAGAUAUGAUCCAGAGUACCACGGGACACGUGAAACCCUGUGGGAAGCAGGAGGGACCACCCUCCAAGGCUAAAUACUACCUAGUGACCGAUAGCGUAUAGUACCGUGAGGGAAAGGUGAAAAGAACCCCGGGAGGGGAGUGAAAUAGAACCUGAAACCCUGCACUUACAAGCUGUGGAAGCACAUUUCUUGUGUGACCGCGUACUUUUUGUAGAACGGGCCAACGAGUUACGUUAAGUAGCAAGGUUAAGCACUUAAGGUGCGGAGCCGUAGCGAAAGCGAGUUUUAACUGAGCGUUCAGUUACUUGACGUAGACCCGAAACCGGGCGACCUACCCAUGAGCAGGAUGAAGCGAAAGUAAAAUUUCGUGGAGGUCCGAACCCACGAGCGUUGAAAAGCUCGGGGAUGACUUGUGGGUAGCGGUGAAAUUCCAAUCGAGCCCGGAGAUAGCUGGUUCUCCCCGAAAUAGCUUUAGGGCUAGCCUCAAGGUGAGAGAUACGGAGGUAGAGCACUGAAUGUCCUAGGGGGUAUUGCACCUACCGAAGACUAUCAAACUCCGAAUGCCGUCAUCUUAUACUUGGGAGUCAGACUGUGGGUGAUAAGAUUCAUAGUCGAAAGGGCAACAGCCCAGAUCGUCAGCUAAGGUCCCUAAAUGUAAGUUAAGUGGUAAAGGAUGUGGGAUUGCACAGACAACCAGGAUGUUGGCUUAGAAGCAGCCACUCAUUCAAAGAGUGCGUAAUAGCUCACUGGUCGAGUGAUCCUGCGCCGAAGAUUUCCGGGGCUAAAACUUACUACCGAAGCUACGGCAUCAUUAUGAUGGGUAGGGGAGCUUCCCAUACGGGUUGAAGCAUGACCGUAAGGACAUGUGGACAGUAUGGGAGUGAGAAUGUUGGCAUGAGUAGCGAGAUGUGGGUGAGAAUCCCACAGGCCGUAAACCCAAGGUUUCCAGGGGAAGGUUCGUCCGCCCUGGGUUAGUCGGGACCUAAGCUGAGGCCGAAAGGCGUAGGUGAUGGACAACAGGUUGAUAUUCCUGUACUACCGAUAACCGUUUGAGAGAUGGGAUGACACAGUAGGAUAA